UACGUAGGGCGCAAGCGUUGUCCGGAAUUAUUGGGCGUAAAGGGCUCGUAGGCGGUUUGUCGCGUCGGGAGUGAAAACCUUGGGCUUAACUCAGGGCUUGCUUUCGAUACGGGCAGACUAGAGGUAUGCAGGGGAGAACGGAAUUCCUGGUGUAGCGGUGAAAUGCGCAGAUAUCAGGAGGAACACCGGUGGCGAAGGCGGUUCUCUGGGCAUGAUCUGACGCUGAGGAGCGAAAGUGUGGGGAGCGAACAGG
rnacentral:rRNA from 1 species